rnacentral:rRNA from 1 species
GAUCAUGGCUCAGGACGAACGCUGGCGGCGUGCUUAACACAUGCAAGUCGAACGGAGUGCUCAUGACAGAGGUUUCGGCCAAUGGAUUGAGUUACUUAGUGGCGGACUGGUGAGUAACGCGUGAGGAACCUGCCUUUCAGAGGGGGACAACAGUUGGAAACGACUGCUAAUACCGCAUGACACAUUGGAGGGGCAUCCCUUCGAUGUCAAAGAUUUUAUCGCUGAAAGAUGG